GCUCAAGUAGCUUAACACGUAAAGCAUCAGCCUUGUAAGCUGAACAUAGAGGAAUAAUCCUCUCUUAAGCU
rnacentral:tRNA from 1 species